rnacentral:rRNA from 1 species
UACGUAGGGUGCAAGCGUUAAUCGGAAUUACUGGGCGUAAAGCGUGCGCAGGCGGUUUUGUAAGUCAGAUGUUAAAUCCCCGGGCUUAACCUGGGAACUGCGUUUGAAACUACAAGGCUAGAGUGUGGCAGAGGGGGGUGGAAUUCCACGUGUAGCAGUGAAAUGCGUAGAGAUUGGGAGGAACACCGAUGGCGAAGGCAGCCCACUGGGUUAACACUGACGCUCAGGCACGAAAGCGUGGGGAGCAAACAGG